rnacentral:rRNA from 1 species
UACGUAGGGCGCAAGCGUUGUCCGGAAUUAUUGGGCGUAAAGAGCUCGUAGGCGGCUUGUCACGUCGAUUGUGAAAGCCCGAGGCUUAACCUCGGGUCUGCAGUCGAUACGGGCUAGCUAGAGUGUGGUAGGGGAGAUCGGAAUUCCUGGUGUAGCGGUGAAAUGCGCAGAUACCAGGAGGAACACCGGUGGCGAAGGCGGAUCUCUGGGCCAUUACUGACGCUGAGGAGCGAAAGCGUGGGGAGCGAACAGG